rnacentral:rRNA from 1 species
UACGGGGGGGGCAAGCGUUGUUCGGAAUUACUGGGCGUAAAGGGCUCGUAGGUGGCCAACUAAGUCAGACGUGAAAUCCCUCGGCUUAACCGGGGAACUGCGUCUGAUACUGGAUGGCUUGAGUUUGGGAGAGGGACGCGGAAUUCCAGGUGUAGCGGUGAAAUGCGUAGAUAUCAGGAGGAACACCAAUUGCGAAGGCAGCUCGCUGGGACGUUACUGACGCUGAGACGCGAAAGCUAGGGGAGCGAACGGG